AAGGAUCAUUACAGAGUUCAUGCCCUCACGGGUAGAUCUCCCACCCUUGAAUAUUAUACCUUAGUUGCUUUGGCAGGCCGGGGCAACCCCCGGGGCUUCGGCCUUGGUGUGCCUGCCAGAGGAAACAAACUCUGUUUUUAGUGAUGUCUGAGUACUAUAUAAUAGUUAAAACUUUCAACAACGGAUCUCUUGGUUCUGGCAUCGAUGAAGAACGCAGCGAAAUGCGAUAAGUAAUGUGAAUUGCAGAAUUCAGUGAAUCAUCGAAUCUUUGAACGCACAUUGCGCCCCGUGGUAUUCCGCGGGGCAUGCCUGUUCGAGCGUCAUUUCAACCCAUCAAGCUUCGGCUUGGUCUUGGGGCCUGCGAUUCCGCAGCCUCUAAACCCAGUGGCGGUGCCUCCGAGCUCUGAGCGUAGUAAUUCUUCUCGCUAUGGGGUCUCGGUGGUGUCUUGCCAGUAACCCCCAAUUUUUUACAGGUUGACCUCGGAUCAGGUAGGGAUACCCGCUGAACUUAAGCAUAUCAAUAAGCGGAGGAAAAGAAACCAACAGGGAUUACCUCAGUAACGGCGAGUGAAGCGGUAACAGCUCAAAUUUGAAAUCUGCCGCAAGGCCGAGUUGUAAUUUGUAGAAGAUGCUUUGGGUAUGGCCCCGGUCUAAGUUCGUUGGAACACGACGUCAUAGAGGGUGAGAAUCCCGUAUGUGACUGGGUGCUUUUGCCUAUGUAAAGCUCUUUCGACGAGUCGAGUUGUUUGGGAAUGCAGCUCAAAAUGGGUGGUAUAUUUCAUCUAAAGCUAAAUAUUGGCCAGAGACCGAUAGCGCACAAGUAGAGUGAUCGAAAGAUGAAAAGCACUUUGGAAAGAGAGUUAAACAGUACGUGAAAUUGUUGAAAGGGAAGCGCUUGCAACCAGACUUGCACGCUGUUGAUCAUCCAGGCUUCUGUCUGGUGCACUCGGCAGCGUUCAGGCCAGCAUCGGUUCUGGUGGUGGGAUAAAGGCCUUGGGAAUGUAGCUUCUUUCGGGGAGUGUUAUAGCCCUCGGUGCAAUGCCGCCUAUCGGGACCGAGGACCGCGCUUCGGCUAGGAUGCUGGCGUAAUGGUUGUAAGCGACC
rnacentral:rRNA from 1 species